rnacentral:rRNA from 1 species
AUGAACGCUGGCGGCGUGCCUCAUACAUGCAGGUCGAGCGAACAGACGAGGAGCUUGCUCCUUUGACGUUAGCGGCGGACGGGUGAGUAACACGUAGGUAACCUACCUAUAAGACUGGGAUAACUUCGGGAAACCGGAGCUAAUACCGGAUAAUAUUUCGAACCGCAUGGUUCGAUAGUGAAAGAUGGCUUUGCUAUCACUUAUAGAUGGACCUGCGCCGUAUUAGCUAGUUGGUAAGGUAACGGCUUACCAAGGCAACGAUACGUAGCCGACCUGAGAGGGUGAUCGGCCACACUGGAACUGAGACACGGUCCAGACUCCUACGGGAGGCAGCAGUAGGGAAUCUUCCGCAAUGGGCGAAAGCCUGACGGAGCAACGCCGCGUGAGUGAUGAAGGUCUUCGGAUCGUAAAACUCUGUUAUUAGGGAAGAACAAACGUGUAAGUAACUGUGCACGUCUUGACGGUACCUAAUCAGAAAGCCACGGCUAACUACGUG